UAGGCGUAAAUGAUGCGAGUUAAGUGUGGGGGCAUCUACGAGAUGGCCCUGUGCUGUAGGGUAGCCGUUAAACUCGCUGCCUGGGGAGUACGGUCGCAAGGCUGAACUUAAGGAUUGGCGGGGGAGCACUACAACGGGUGGAGCCUGCGGUUUAAUUGGACUCAACGCCGGAAAACUCACCGGGGGCGACAGCAAUAUGUAGGUCAAGCUAAAGACUUUGCCGGAUUAGCUGAGAGGAGGUGCAUGGCGUAGUCGUGU
rnacentral:rRNA from 1 species